GCGCAGACAUGGUCGAGUGAGGCCAAGGAGACCCGCGCUGGAUCGUGGAGGAGCGGGAGGACGGGACCAACGUGAACAAAUGGCACUGGACAGAGUGGGAUGCCACCAGCCGGUCCAAGGGGAAGCUCUGUGACCUCCUGGUGGGCAUCAUCGUGGAGAAUGAGGUGGCAGCGGUGAGAUCUGUGAGCUGAAGCAAGUCAAAGGUGAGGCUUCUUGAAGCAGCCGCAAAGGAAAGCUGAUUUUCUUCUAUGAGUGGAUCAUCAGGCUGAGCUGGAAAGAUGUAAUUAAAGAAUCUGGUGCAAAGCACAAGGGAUUGAUUGAAAUACUCAACCUUUCUGAAGAAAGUGAAGUAGAUGACACUGAGAAUUUACAGUGGCAAUGAUUUUACCAAGGAAAGCCAUG